rnacentral:misc_RNA from 1 species
GUUUCAGUGACUGUGAGUUUCACCAGAAGAAUUGAUGUCAACCUAAAUUCUACAAGCAUGUUGCUAAAUCCCAUGCAGCCACCGAUUUACUUUCUCGAGCUUCGCUUCCAUUUCAAUUANNAAUUGCUCAGAAACCUUGAAGGCGACCUGAUCGAGAUUCAAGCCUACCCAACUGCUCCAACCUCCUCUUUCCUCUUCCAGAUUCGUUCUUAUGAUCACCUAUUUGAUCAGCCACC